CGGAAUUACAUUAGCAGUGGCAGUGAACAUUUUGUCAGAACUUUAGAAGCAAUACGGAAAAGAAAAAUCAGGUUAGCAAUUAUAUAGUUAAUAUUGUACAAGAUGAAAGCCUGCCUUAUAAAACCCUGAACGGAGUAAACUCUACUCUACUUUGGAAUCUGCCUGCAGGCUGUCUAUCCUUUCAAAAUGUUGUGCCUGUUGUCAGUACUGGGAUUUUAAAUGAAAUUUAUUACAGGAGCAAUAAAUACACUAAGUAUGAUGAAAAUAAGGGUUUAUGGAAAAGGGUUUUGAUAAGCAUUGACUCAACCCAUCCUGUUGCUUCAGUCAUCUUAGCAUCUGAAUUCAGAACAAAGGUUUUUAAAGGAUUCCCUGAAAACCUAAUUAUAGCUCUAGCACUAGAUUUACAAUUGACAUGAAGGUCAAGGAUGAGCAGUCAGGCUGGGGAGAGCACAGAGUAUUCAUCACAAGAUAUGACUAGUCCAGGGGAAUCUUGUCAAAAAUCUUCUAUGUUUAUAAUUCAGAUGCAAAGAGGAGACAUUUCAGAAGGCACUCUGAUG
rnacentral:lncRNA from 1 species